AGCACUUCAGAGUGACCGCUGACACCCACGGACUGAACAUAGCUCCAUAGUGGACUCCGCGUAGAUGCAGCCUGGGAGUCGCUUUCCCCAGACUCUCGUGCCGCUCAAAGGUGGCCGAGAGCAUUUUGACACCGACUCCGAGUUAGCAACCACUCCCCUGAUGUAGGGCCAGACCGGCCACCGGGAACAAGGCCAUCCCGGCACCGAGGGACAGUCAGCACCUAACUGUAAGGGUCCUACUGAUGCACCCAAGCCUGGCGAGCCGGGGCCGUGCGUGGGCUGAACUCCAGCCGGUGGGAGCAGACAGAGGCCAAGCCACAUGCAUUAUUUUUCUCUCCUUUUGAGGAUCACAGAAGAGGAUUAACUUUGGGAAGAGGACACACCCAAGCCUCACUGAGAACUGCAGUGAUGGUCUGAAAGUUUACGGCAGCCCACAGUAUGCAGAUCAGCACCCCAGCAUGGCCAGAAUGGCAACUGCGUCCAUGAGAUGAACUCACGUCGGCAGAGAAGGCAAGCAGGAACGAAACCAAGCACAUCAGGUGACAGCAGCUGCUAUUUUAGCUCAGUUAGUGUCAUCGCCGGUGACUGCCAAAGAUCUAGAAAUACAAAAUGAUCGUGUGUCUACAAAGUAGGACAGUCCUUUAAUUUACCUCCAGGAGAAGAAAUGAGAAAGCAACCUCCUCCUGGCUUAGCUCUGCAAGAGAAACGGCGUGCGUGCACCGUGCAGGGUCCACUCCCUGGCUGCGAACGCCUCGCUGCCCAGGACGGCGGCCUUGCGCCUGACCUCCGUCCACGCUAUUUGUCUAGCCCCAUCACAACCCUGACAUAAAAUCUUGCUUUCCUCUGCUUUUGUUGUUUCUGUUUGGCCAGCACACUUUGCUCUCGUGUUUCUUCUGGAACCAAGCGGACAUCGGUUAUUGCCUUCCCGGACGUCAGCAGAGUCUGUUUGGCCUUUUCCAGUUCACUGGCCCCAGUCUGCGGGUCAGGUGGGUCCCGGGGUGAGUGACACUCAAUACUCUGAGAGCUGGGGGCUGCAAACGUUAGAAAGAUAAGGUAGAGCAUAGCAGAAAACUAAGCACAGAGCUGUGUCUUAUCUCAGCGUCUUUGGAGAAAGAAUAAAAAAAUUAUUGACUGUGAUCACACGGGCUGAGUUCCAAGCCCCUUGACCGCAGCUUCCCAAAGCAGCUGGAGGACAGUCUCUGCCCUCUGCACUAACCUGCUCCAGGCACGGAACGGGUGUCUUCCAGCCAGCUUGGAAGACACACGGCUAUGAGGACCCAAUGAAGGGCGAAGAGGUCGUGCUUGGAUCUGGACCAUGGGAACCCUCUAAUGGUGUCAGGAGGAGUGUCAGGAAGGAGCAGAGAGCUGCAGCAAGACUGUGGCCUCCGCCCUGGCCCUCUAGGUGACGUUGGACGAGCCACCCAAUCUCUCUGGGUUUGCUUCCUUCCCUGUGGAUGGCAUAAAGUUAGGCUACGUGGCCACCCAGGUUUGAUGGCUCUGCCCUCACUCAGGAAGCAAGUUCUGGCCCUUUAGAAAGCAAAUUCCAUUGAACGUUUGCAUGUCGUUAGAAGGGCUCAGAUAAGACACUGAAAUAUAAUUCCCGCGUACAGAGCGAGAUCCACAUGCCGUGCUGGGCUGUGAGGUUGGGCUGCGUCCCGCCUCCGCCUCCUGAAACCAGCCUGAUGAACAGGGUCCCCGCAGGUGAGAAGUGGCAAGGAGCCACUAGGGCCAGCGAGGACACAGAUCACGCCCUGCAUGGGGUACCCUCAGCCUCGCCCAUUCCUGUACCUGCCCUCCUCUUCCCUUUGCCCAGCCUUGGCUCAAGCCUGACUCACACCAUGGAAUCCUCCUGGUUAUCAGUCGGGAAGUCUCUGCACUUGCACAAUGCCUGCAAUUUCUGCAGUGCAACUUGGCACUUGGGUUGCUCGUUGCUGGUUCCUGUGUGUGAUUCUUGUCUUAGGAGUUUCC